ensembl:lncRNA
GGGCAACCUCUGUUGGUAAAGAGUCCUGUUUACUACCUUCUGACUCAUGCUUACCUGUGGUUUCUAUGACUGCCACCAACAAUGAAGCAUAAAUCCAUUCCUGGAGGGUGGGGUCUGCAGGAAAUAGACAGGCUAAUCCUAAAUUGCAUACAAAAUUGCAAGGAACCGGGAAUAGUAAAAUCUUGAAAACAGAAGGACAAGGUUGAAGGACGCACACUUGCCAAUUUUAAAACUUGUGACAAAGCUACAGUAAUCAAGACAGUGUGAAAUUAGCAUAAGGACAGACAUAGAUGAAUGGGAUAGAAUUGAGAGUCUGGAAACAAACUCAUACAUUUAUGAUCAAUAAAGGUGCCAAGACGAUUAAAU